AUGUUAUAUCACAUUUGACAUUUCUUAGAAUGUUUCAAAACACUAACUCAACACUAGUGAGGGCAAUAAAAGUUUGGCAGUAUUUCGUGGUAUGUUUAUGUUUGCUGCAGGAAAAUCGUUCGGCGUCCAUAAAAUUUUUCUUCUCGUCACAAGAUACAAAUUUCCAGCUGCGAUGGCUUCCUGCCAGAACUAAACCAUGAAGGAGGAUGUCCAGAUUUCGCUCUACGCCAGCUUUUCGUCGAAGUCACGGAUCUCUCGGGCAAGUAAAGUAUCUCGCGCGUCACCGGCGACAUGAAGGCCAAGGCCGAUCGUGACGAGGCCUCACCCUACGCCGCUCAGGACGUCGUCGAAAAGUGCAAGUCGCUGCGUGCCACCGGCGGAAACCGCACCAAGACACCGGGACCGGGUGCCCAGUUGGUGCUCCGUGCCUUGGCCUGUUCGUCGAAGAAUAUU